rnacentral:rRNA from 1 species
UACGUAGGGGGCAAGCGUUGUCCGGAAUUAUUGGGCGUAAAGAGCGUGUAGGCGGCCAGAUAAGUCCGCUGUGAAAACUCGAGGCUCAACCUCGAGACGCCGAUGGAAACCAUCUGGCUAGAGUCCGGAAGAGGAGAGUGGAAUUCCUGGUGUAGCGGUGAAAUGCGCAGAUAUCAGGAAGAACACCCGUGGCGAAGGCGGCUCUCUGGAACGCAACUGACGCUGAGACGCGAAAGCGUGGGGAGCAAACAGG